UACGAAGGGUGCAAGCGUUACUCGGAAUUACUGGGCGUAAAGCGUGCGUAGGCGGUUUGUUAAGUCCGUUGUGAAAGCCCUGGGCUCAACCUGGGAAUUGCAGUGGAUACUGGCGAGCUAGAGUGCGGUAGAGGAUGGUGGAAUUCCCGGUGUAGCGGUGAAAUGCGUAGAGAUCGGCAGGAACACCCAGGGGGAAACCAGUCGACUGGGCAGCACCUGACGCUGAGGUGCGAGAGCGUGGGGAGCGAACCGG
rnacentral:rRNA from 1 species